rnacentral:misc_RNA from 1 species
AACGCACAUUGCGCCCGCCAGCAUUCUGGCGGGCAUGCCUGUUCGAGCGUCAUUUCAACCAUCAAGCCCCAGGCUUGCGUUGGAGCCCUGCGGCCGCCGCAGCCUCCGAAAUACAGUGGCGGGCUCGCUAUCACACCGAGUGCAGUAGAAUACUCUUCGCUCAGGGCGUGUGGCGGGUGCCGGCCGUGAAACCCCCCCUUCUCAAGGUUGACCUCGGAUCAGGUAGGAAUACCCGCUGAACUUAA